GUGAAUCAUCGAAUAUUUGAACGCAAAUUGCACUAUCUGGUAUUCCGGAGAGUAUGCCUGUUUGAGGGUCAGUUAAAUUAAAAUCGGGGUUGUUGCUACCCGUAGUGGGGUGUGAUGCAUCGGAAUGGAGUCGUUCUUUACCGUUGGUUUAAGUGACUUAAAAUGAUGUUCGAUGUUUGAACGAAUUUAAAUUAGUACUAACGAUCGUAAAAUCACAUAUUAGGUGCGGUCAUUAACAUGAGUUCGGGUCUAGAAUU
rnacentral:misc_RNA from 1 species